ACUCAAAGGAAUAGACGGGGGCCCGCACAAGCGGCGGAGCAUGUGGAUUAAUUCGAUGCAACGCGAAGAACCUUACCUGGGUUUGACAUACACCGGAAAGCUGCAGAGAUGUAGCCCCCCUUGUGGUCGGUGUACAGGUGGUGCAUGGCUGUCGUCAGCUCGUGUCGUGAGAUGUUGGGUUAAGUCCCGCAACGAGCGCAACCCUUGUCUUAUGUUGCCAGCACGUAAUGGUGGGGACUCGUAAGAGACUGCCGGGGUCAACUCGGAGGAAGGUGGGGACGACGUCAAGUCAUCAUGCCCCUUAUGUCCAGGGCUUCACACAUGCUACAAUGGCCAGUACAGAGGGCUGCGAUACCGCGAGGUGGAGCGAAUCCCUUAAAGCUGGUCUCAGUUCGGAUUGGGGUCUGCAACUCGACCCCAUGAAGUCGGAGUCGCUAGUAAUCGCAGAUCAGCAACGCUGCGGUGAAUACGUUCCCGGGCCUUGUACACACCGCCCGU
rnacentral:rRNA from 1 species